rnacentral:rRNA from 1 species
AUUGAACGCUGGCGGAAUGCUUUACACAUGCAAGUCGAGCGGCAGCGCGGCCUUCGGGCUGGCGGCGAGCGGCGAACGGGUGAGUAAUGCAUCGGAACAUGCCCAGUCGUGGGGGAUAACACUUCGAAAGAAGUGCUAAUACCGCAUACGUCCUGAGGGGGAAAGCGGGGGAUCGCAAGACCUCGCGCGAUUGGAGUGGCCGAUGUCGGAUUGGCUAGUUGGUGGGGUAAAGGCCUACCAAGGCGACGAUCUGUAGCUGGUCUGAGAGGAUGAUCAGCCACACUGGGACUGAGACACGGCCCAGACUCCUACGGGAGGCAGCAGUGGGGAAUUUUGGACAAUGGGGGCAACCCUGAUCCAGCCAUUCCGCGUGAGUGAAGAAGGCCUUCGGGUUGUAAAGCUCUUUCGGCAGGAACGAAACGGUGGGCUCUAACAUAGUCCGCUAAUGACGGUACCUGAAGAAGAAGCACCGGCUAACUACGUG